rnacentral:rRNA from 1 species
UAGAGUUUGAUCCUGGCUCAGGUUGAACGCUGGCGGCAGCCUAACACAUGCAAGUCGAGCGGAUGAGGGGAGCUUGCUCCCUGAUUUAGCGGCGGACGGGUGAGUAAUGCCUAGGAAUCUGCCUGGUAGUGGGGGAUAACGUUCCGAAAGGAACGCUAAUACCGCAUACGUCCUACGGGAGAAAGCAGGGGACCUUCGGGCCUUGCGCUAUCAGAUGAGCCUAGGUCGGAUUAGCUAGUUGGUGAGGUAAUGGCUCACCAAGGCGACGAUCCGUAACUGGUCUGAGAGGAUGAUCAGUCACACUGGAACUGAGACACGGUCCAGACUCCUACGGGAGGCAGCAGUGGGGAAUAUUGGACAAUGGGCGAAAGCCUGAUCCAGCCAUGCCGCGUGUGUGAAGAAGGUCUUCGGAUUGUAAAGCACUUUAAGUUGGGAGGAGGGGCAUUAACCUAAUACGUUAGUGUUUUGACGUUACCAACAGAAUAAGCACCGGCUAACUUCGUGCCAGCAGCCGCGGUAAUACGAAGGGUGCAAGCGUUAAUCGGAAUUACUGGGCGUAAAGCGCGCGUAGGUGGUUCGUUAAGUUGGAUGUGAAAGCCCCGGGCUCAACCUGGGAACUGCAUCCAAAACUGGCGAGCUAGAGUACGGUAGAGGGUGGUGGAAUUUCCUGUGUAGCGGUGAAAUGCGUAGAUAUAGGAAGGAACACCAGUGGCGAAGGCGACCACCUGGACUGAUACUGACACUGAGGUGCGAAA